GAAUAACUAUUAACACUCAUUUCUAUAGCAAAGCUUUGUUGAUUUUCAACUAGCUAGGGGAUGUGAUUUGUCAUGAGAGAGCUGGAAGGUUUGUUUUUUGACUUUAUUUGUUUUGGGUUGUUUGUUAGGCAUUAUAGGAAUGCUUUUUAUUAGUUUUCUUUCCGUUUUUCCUGUUUUUAAUCUUGGCAUUUAAAGUCUUGCUGACUUGAUAUUUAAAUACUUACUCCUUAGUGCGCAUGCACACACAUGCACACACACAGAGCAGUAUGCAGCCACACACCACAGACCUUGUAUACAAUAGUUGCUCCAUAAGAAUAUAUCACCUGGUGUCAUCAAAUAAACCCAUUCUGUGGUGUUUGUAUUAUGUAAUGAUGCAAUUGACCAAUUAGACAUUUCUCAAAAUAUAUCUUCAUCAUUAGGAAAUGUAUGUCUAUACUUAACGUUUCUUUGUCCUAUCCCCAUGUCUUUGGUAAUUUUUAUGUGUGUUUUAGUUAACAUAUUAUUAAUUGUAUAAAAUAAUGGGUUGCAUUACUUUUAUCUGCCCUUGUGGUUUUGGUUUUUGUUUUGAGUCAAGGUCCUGCUGUAUAGCCUUGCUUGCUCUGUAGGCUCCUGCUGGCCUCACUUAAUAUUUUUUCUGCCACGGUUUUCCCUAGUCCCACUUGCUUCUGCCUCGUGUGCUGGGAUCAGAGGUGUAUGCUGCUAGGCUCAAUACCCUCCUUCUGUAUCAGGCUACAUUUUCUGUCUAUGGCUGUUUCAUAGCUUAGUUUUCAAAGCUUUAAGUGUUUAAGCUCAUCUGAAUAAUUUUGACCUUUCCCUGCACUGACCGUUGUGUACUGUCAUAGAAGAUUCACUGGUAUAUGUUGCCUUGGCUGUUUUAGAGACGGGGCUCUUUCCCUGUGUGGUCCACAGUAGCCCUGUACUUGCAGUCCUCCUGCCCUACCCUACGGUAAACCAAGGUUACAAGUACACAUCCUCCCAUACCCAGCCACUGUGUGCGCGCGCGCGCGCGCGCGUGUGUGUGUGUGUGUGUGUGUGUGUGUGUGUCUGCAUUUCUCUUUGAUUCCAUUCGAAUGUGAGUAUUUAUACUAACUUGUUUAUAAAUAAAAGAACAGUGAAAUGACUUUAGGGCUGGUGAGCUAGAUCACAGGUACAGGUGCUGACUAUAAAGGCUGGUGAGCUGAGUUAAUCUCUGAGACCCAUAUGGUGAAGAGAGCUGACUCUUUAAAAUGUCAUUUUAAAGAUGUAUUUUAGCAGGGCGGUAGUAGUAAAUAUAAAUACCUUUAAUCCCAGCACUUGUGUGGCAGAAGCAGGUGGAUCUCUGUGAGUUUGAGGACAGCCUGGUGUACAGAGAGAGUUCCAGGACAGCCAGAACUACACAGCAAAACCCUGUCUUGAAAAACAAAACAAACAAAAAGGUAUUUUAAUCUUUUCCAACCCAUAAUAAAAUUAUUAGAUACAAACCUUAAAAACCUUAUGCAACAAGUGCUUUACGGAUUCAACCAUCAGCCCCAUUUUUUAAAAGGAAUUUGUUUUAUUUUUAUUAAUGUAUGUUUGAGUAUGUGUAUUCAUGUCUGUGUGCAAGUGUCAUAGAAGUCAAUGGAAGGUCUUAGAUCCCCUGGAGCUGAAGUUACAGGAGGUUGUAAGCUGUUUAACAUGGGUUCACAGAACUGAACUCUAGUCUUCUGAAAGAGAGCAAGCGCUCUUAAGCUGUGCCAGGUGUGGUGGGACACAUUUUUAAUCUCGGCACUUAGGAGACAGAGGUAAACAGGUCUCUGUAAGUUUGAGGUCAGAUUGGGUCUACAUGGAGAAUUUGAGGCAGCCAGGGUUACAUAGUGAGACCCUGUUUCAAGAAACAAAACCAUCAGCCUCAUUUUUUAAAAGGAAUUUGUUUUAUUUUUAUUAAUGUAUGUUUGAGUAUGUGUAUUCAUGUAUGUGUGCAAGUGUCAUAGAAGUCAAUGGAAGGUCUUAGAUCCCCUGGAAACAAAACAAAAAGAGUAUUAAGUUAGAGUAAGCCAGACAUGGUUAGGAUACUACUGUAAUCCAAACACUUAGGGGGUGAUGCAUAAAGACCCAACAGGUUUAGACAAGGUUGGGUUAUACAGUAAGACCCCAUCCAAAGUAAUAGUAAUAGUACUUGUGGGAGAUACUGGGUUUGGUUUGGUUUGGUUUGGUUUUGGUUUUUUGAGACAGGGUAGCCCUGGCUGUACUGGAUCUUACUCUAUAGACUUGAAUUCACAGAGGUCCACCUACCUCUGCUUCCCAAAUGCUGGGAUUAAAGACAUGUGUCACCACUGUGUAUUAUUUAUAAUUAUCUCAGACUGACAACUUUAGUAUUAUACUAACAUUAGAACAAAUUGUGGUAUAUUCGUACAAUAGAAUAACACAUAUCACUUUAGCAGUUUGGUUACUCCACAUUCAUUAACAGCGUGGAAGAAACACUAGAUGUAAUGUAGAGCUAACAAUGCCAGACCUGCAAGAGGACAUUCUGCAGUAAUCCUGUUCUCAUUAAGCUCAAAAAUAGGAAAAGCUAAAACUGUAGCUCUAAACAUUCAGGAGGGUAAUUGCUCUGGUAAAAGACUGACUUCCUAGAGUAACGUUCUGUGUCUCAUCUCAAUGGUAAUUAACACGUUUAUUUUUUUAUUGGGGGGGGGUUGGUGGUUUCAAGACAGGGUUAAUCUGUGUAGCCCUGGCUGUCCUGGAACUCACUCUGUAGACCAGGCUGGCCUCGAACUCAGAAAUUCACCUGCCUCUGCCUCCCAAGUGCUGGGAUUAAAGGAGUGUGCCACCACGUGGUGGCGCAUGCCCUUUUUUUUUUUUUUUUUUUUAAGAUUGAUUGAUUGAUUGAUUGAUUGAUUGAUUGAUUUAAUGUAAGUACACUGAAGCUGCCUUCAGACACUCCAGAAGAGGGCGCCAGAUCUCGAUACAGAUGGUUGUGAGCCACCAUAUGGUUGCUGGGAAUUGAACUCAGGACCUUCAGAAGAGCAGUCAGUGCUCUUAACCACUGAGCCAUCUCUCCAGCCCCCACGCCUUUUAUUUUUAUAAAAUCUAUCAGAAUGUAUAUUUUUAACGUGUAUAGUGUACAUUUGUUCUGUCUCCAUUUAAAAAAGGAAUCUGUAUGAGCCAGGCAUGAUAUCACACAUUUUUAAUCUCAGCACUCAGAAGGCAGAAGCAGGCAGAUCUUUGUGACUUUUUUUUUUUUUUUUUUUUUGAGAUCAGACUGGUCUGUGUAAAAAGAUUCAGGAUAGCCAGAGCUACAUAGAGAGACUCUGCCUUU
rnacentral:lncRNA from 1 species